GAUGAACGCUAGCGGCAGGCUUAAGACAUGCAAGCCGAACGGCAAGACUUGUAGCAAUACGAGUCCUAGAGUGGCGUAAGGGUGCGUAACACGUAUGCAAUCUGCCCGCAACAGGAGUAUAGCUCCCCGAAAGGGGAAUUAAUGCUCCAUAGGAAUAUCUGAGGGCAUCUGAGGAUAUUUAAACCUGAGGGGGUUGCGGAUGAGCAUGCGCAUGAUUAGUUAGUUGGCAGGGUAACGGCCUACCAAGACGAUGAUCAUUAGGGGAACUGAGAGGUUGAUCCCCCACACUGGCACUGAGAUACGGGCCAGACUCCUACGGGAGGCAGCAGUCGGGAAUAUUGGUCAAUGGGUGCGAGCCUGAACCAGCCAUGCCGCGUGCAGGAAGAAGGCCUUCUGGGUUGUAAACUGCUUUUACCAGGGGAUAAAAACGUUUUGCGAAACGGAUUGAAGGUACCUGGGGAAUAAGCCACGGCUAACUACGUGCCAGCAGCCGCGGUAAUACGUAGGUGGCGAGCGUUGUCCGGAUUUAUUGGGUUUAAAGGGUGCGUAGGCGGCUUAUUAAGUCAGUGGUGAAAGACGGCAGCUUAACUGUCGAGGUGCCAUUGAUACUGAUGAGCUAGAGUACUGAUGAGGUAGGCGGAAUGGACGGUGUAGCGGUGAAAUGCAUAGAUAUCGUCCAGAACACCGAUAGCGAAGGCAGCUUACUAAGGAGUAACUGACG
rnacentral:rRNA from 1 species